ensembl:snoRNA
AAAACUAUACUUUCAGGGAUCAUUUCUAUAGUUCGUUACUAGAGAAAUCUCACUGAUCGUGUAGAGCACCGGAAACCACGAGGACGAGGUAUAGUGUUCUCUCCUGAGCGUGAAGCCGGCAUUUGGUGGUGUCUUACGACAUCUGCCACUUGCCAUUGAUGAUCGUUCCUCUUCUCCUUUGUGAGAAGUGAGAGGGAGAGAACACAUUCUGAGUGGUU